GAGAGAACCGAAGCUCCAGAGAAAACCGAAGCCCCAGAGACAAUUGAAAUUGUGAAGGGGUCAGUCUUUUGCAAAAGAGAUGCGUGGAAGGCAUCCAUCCAUACCACCUCUGGCACAGCAAUGGUGCAAACUCUCCUCCUCUGCACAUUUCCCCUUGAAACCCUGCUUCAGAGCAACCUCAACGGUGGCAAGCCAAAGUGAGGUGAUGGGGAGCAGCUGGAAGCCCUGGACCCAGGAAAAAAGGCGGCCAUAAUUG